rnacentral:rRNA from 1 species
GACGAACGCUGGCGGCGUGCUUAACACAUGCAAGUCGAACGAUGAACCCGGAGCUUGCUCCGGUGGAUUAGUGGCGAACGGGAGAGUAACACGUGAGCAAUCUGCCCUUGACUCUGGGAUAACUGCGGGAAACUGUAGCUAAUACCGGAUACGACACCUUGGGGCAUCCCAGGGUGUGGAAAGAAUUUCGGUCAAGGAUGAGCUCGCGGCCUAUCAGCUAGUUGGUGAGGUAAUGGCUCACCAAGGCGACGACGGGUAGCCGGCCUGAGAGGGUGACCGGCCACACUGGAACUGAGACACGGUCCAGACUCCUACGGGAGGCAGCAGUGGGGAAUAUUGCACAAUGGGCGAAAGCCUGAUGCAGCAACGCCGCGUGAGGGAUGAAGGCCUUCGGGUUGUAAACCUCUUUUAGCAGGGAAGAAGCGAAAGUGACGGUACCUGCAGAAAAAGCACCGGCUAACUACGUGCCAGCCGCCGCAGUAA